rnacentral:rRNA from 1 species
AGUGAACGCUGGCGGUAGGCCUAACACAUGCAAGUCGAACGGCAGCACAGAGGAGCUUGCUCCUUGGGUGGCGAGUGGCGGACGGGUGAGGAAUACAUCGGAAUCUACUCUGUCGUGGGGGAUAACGUAGGGAAACUUACGCUAAUACCGCAUACGACCUACGGGCGAAAGCAGGGGAUCUUCGUACCUUGCGCGAUUGAAUGAGCCGAUGUCGGAUUAGCUAGUUGGCGGGGUAAAGGCCCACCAAGGCGACGACCCGUAGCUGGUCUGAGAGGAUGAUCAGCCACACUGGAACUGAGACACGGUCCAGACUCCUACGGGAGGCAGCAGUGGGGAAUAUUGGACAAUGGGCGCAAGCCUGAUCCAGCCAUACCGCGUGGGUGAAGAAGGCCUUCGGGUUGUAAAGCCCUUUUGUUGGGAAAGAAAUCCAUCUGGUUAAUACCCGGGUGGGAUGACGGUACCCAAAGAAUAAGCACCGGCUAACUUCGUGCCAGCAGCCGCCGUAA